GACGAACGCUGGAGGAGUGCUUCACACAUGCAAGUCGAACGGAAAGGAACAGCUUAUGUGGGGUGCACGAAUGGCGAACGGGUGAGUAACACGUGAGUAACCUGCCCUUGACUUUGGGAUAACUUCAGGAAACUGGGGCUAAUACCGGAUAGGAGCUCCUGCUGCAUGGUGGGGGUUGGAAAGUUUCGGCGGUUGGGGAUGGACUCGCGGCUUAUCAGCUUGUUGGUGGGGUAGUGGCUUACCAAGGCUUUGACGGGUAGCCGGCCUGAGAGGGUGACCGGCCACAUUGGGACUGAGAUACGGCCCAGACUCCUACGGGAGGCAGCAGUGGGGAAUAUUGCACAAUGGGCGGAAGCCUGAUGCAGCAACGCCGCGUGCGGGAUGACGGCCUUCGGGUUGUAAACCGCUUUCGCCUGUGACGAAGCGUGAGUGACGGUAAUGGGUAAAGAAGCACCGGCUAACUACGUG
rnacentral:rRNA from 1 species